GCCCGAAAGGGUGACUGCGUACCUUUUGUAUAAUGGGUCAGCGACUUAUAUUUUGUAGCGAGGUUAACCGAAUAGGGGAGCCGAAGGGAAACCGAGUCUUAACUGGGCGACUAGUUGCAAGGUAUAGACCCGAAACCCGGUGAUCUAGCCAUGGGCAGGUUGAAGGUUGGGUAACACUAACUGGAGGACCGAACCGACUAAUGUUGAAAAAUUAGCGGAUGACUUGUGGCUGGGGGUG
rnacentral:rRNA from 1 species